GAGGGGAUGACUGGUGACAGAGUGAGGGAGUGACUAGUAACAGAGGGAGGGAGUGACUAGUGACAGAGGGAGGGAGGGAGGGGAUGACUGUCUAGUGACAGUCACCCCAUCCCUCUCUCUGUCACUAGUCACUCCCUCCCUAACUCUGUCACUGUGUCACCCGCUCCCUCACUCUGUCACUAGUCACCCCCUCCCUCACUCUGUCACUAAUCACCCCCUC